GGUAGUGUGGCCAAGCAGUCCAAGGUGCUGGAUGAAGGCUCCAGUCUCUUCAGAGGUGAGGGUUCAAAUCCCUCCACUGCCA
rnacentral:tRNA from 1 species